AUUGAACGCUGGCGGCAUGCCUUACACAUGCAAGUCGAACGGCAGCAUGGAGAGCUUGCUCUCUGAUGGCGAGUGGCGAACGGGUGAGUAAAGCAUCGGAACGUACCGUGUAGUGGGGGAUAACGUAGCGAAAGUUACGCUAAUACCGCAUACGCACUGAGGUGGAAAGCAGGGGAUCGCAAGACCUUGCGCUAUACGAGCGGCCGAUGUCAGAUUAGCUAGUUGGUAGGGUAAAGGCCUACCAAGGCGACGAGCUGUAGCGGGUCUGAGAGGAUGAGCCGCCACACUGGGACUGAGACACGGCCCAGAAUCCUACGGGAGGCAGCAGUGGGGAAUUUUGGACAAUGGGGGCAACCCUGAUCCAGCCAUGCCGCGUGAGUGAAGAAGGCCUUCGGGUUGUAAAGCUCUUUCGGCCGGGAAGAAAUCGCACAGGCUAAUACUCUGUGUGGAUGACGGUACCGGCAUAAGAAGCACCGGCUAACUACGUGCCAGCCGCCGCAGUAA
rnacentral:rRNA from 1 species